rnacentral:rRNA from 1 species
GACGAACGCUGGCGGCGUGCCUAAUACAUGCAAGUCGAGCGCAGGAAACUGACGGAACUCUUCGGAGGGAAGGCAGCGGAAUGAGCGGCGGACGGGUGUGUAACACGUAAGGAACCUGCCUCAAGGAUUGGGAUAACUCCGAGAAAUCGGAGCUAAUACCGGAGAGUUCAUCGGACCGCAUGGUCCGUUGAUGAAAGGCGCUUCGGCGUCACCUUGAGAUGGCCUUGCGGUGCAUUAGCUAGUUGGUGGGGUAAUGGCCCACCAAGGCGACGAUGCAUAGCCGACCUGAGAGGGUGAUCGGCCACACUGGGACUGAGACACGGCCCAGACUCCUACGGGAGGCAGCAGUAGGGAAUCUUCCACAAUGGACGAAAGUCUGAUGGAGCAACGCCGCGUGAGUGAUGAAGGUUUUCGGAUCGUAAAACUCUGUUGUAAGGGAAGAACACGUACGAGAGGAAAUGCUCGUACCUUGACGGUACCUUACGAGAAAGCCACGGCUAACUACGUGCCAGCCGCCGCGGUAAAAC